UACGUAGGGGGGCAAGCGUUGUCCGGAUUUAUUGGGCGUAAAGAGCGUGUAGGCGGCCAGAUAGGUCCGUUGUGAAAACUCGAGGCUCAACCUCGAGACGCCGAUGGAAACCAUUUGGCUAGAGUCCGGAAGAGGAGAGUGGAAUUCCUGGUGUAGCGGUGAAAUGCGCAGAUAUCAGGAAGAACACCCGUGGCUAAGGCGGCUCUCUAGUACGGUACUGACGCUGAGACGCGAAAGCGUGGGGAGCGAACAGG
rnacentral:rRNA from 1 species